AUUGAACGCUGGCGGCAGGCCUAACACAUGCAAGUCGAGCGGAUGAAGGGAGCUUGCUCCUGGAUUCAGCGGCGUGCGGGUGAGUAAUGCCUAGGAAUCUGCCUGGUAGUGGGGGAUAACGUCCGGAAACGGGCGCUAAUACCGCAUACGUCCUGAGGGAGAAAGUGGGGGAUCUUCGGACCUCACGCUAUCAGAUGAGCCUAGGUCGGAUUAGCUAGUUGGUGGGGUAAAGGCCUACCAAGGCGACGAUCCGUAACUGGUCUGAGAGGAUGAUCAGUCACACUGGAACUGAGACACGGUCCAGACUCCUACGGGAGGCAGCAGUGGGGAAUAUUGGACAAUGGGCGAAAGCCUGAUCCAGCCAUGCCGCGUGUGUGAAGAAGGUCUUCGGAUUGUAAAGCACUUUAAGUUGGGAGGAAGGGCAGUAAGUUAAUACCUUGCUGUUUUGACGUUACCAACAGAAUAAGCACCGGCUAACUUCGUG
rnacentral:rRNA from 1 species